rnacentral:tRNA from 1 species
CGCGGGGGCCUGGCUGAAGGCUGCCGCCCAGGAGAGCCCGAACAGUGUCCGCGCGACGAU